rnacentral:lncRNA from 1 species
GUAAGAAAGUGUGAAAUUUAGCGCCUAGAAGUUAAAUUUCAGAAAACAAAUAAUAUGGAAGGUAUACCACCCGAACCUCCAGAUAAAGGUAAAUUUUAUGUAGAAAUGGAAGGAGAUGGGAUGAUGGAAUAUGAGGAAUUAAAUAAAAAUAACAA